UUGUUUUCAAAUUUUGAGUUCGAGUCAAGUUCAAUUUUCGAAUUCAAAAAAUUCGACUAAUUCAAAUAACUGACUACCAAACUACCCCUUCUCCCCCACGCCCCUAUUCUUUUCAAAAAAAAAUUUACUUUCCCUCCCUCUUUUACCCCCAAAAAAUCAAAAUCCCCACAAAUAUUUUAUUUCCCCCUCCUUUACCCUAAAAAAUCUUUACUUUCCUUCCCCUUUACUCCAAAAAAUCUUUUAUUUCCCCAUUUACCCCCAAAAAUCAAAAUCCUCC
rnacentral:lncRNA from 1 species